GACGAACGCUGGCGGCGUGCCUAAUACAUGCAAGUCGAGCGAAGUUUUUCUGGUGCUUGCACUAGAAAAACUUAGCGGCGAACGGGUGAGUAACACGUAAAGAACCUGCCUCAUAGACUGGGACAACUAUUGGAAACGAUAUCUAAUACCGGAUAACAGUAUUUCUCGCAUGAGAGAUAUUUAAAAGUUGGUUAUGCUAACACUAUGAGAUGGCUUUGCGGUGCAUUAGCUAGUUGGUGGGGUAAAGGCCCACCAAGGCGACGAUGCAUAGCCGACCUGAGAGGGUGAUCGGCCACACUGGAACUGAGACACGGCCCAGACUCCUACGGGAGGCAGCAGUAGGGAAUCUUCCGCAAUGGGCGAAAGCCUGACGGAGCAACGCCGCGUGAGUGAAGAAGGAUUUCGGUUCGUAAAGCUCUGUUGUUAGGGAAGAAUGGAUAUGUAGUAACUAUACAUGUAAGAGACGGUACCUAACCAGAAAGCCACGGCUAACUACGUG
rnacentral:rRNA from 1 species